GGUGAAAAUUCUUGGAUUUAUGUAAAGAUUAACUUCUGCGAAAGCAUCUGCCAAGGAUGUUUUCAUUAAUCAAGAACGAAAGUUAGGGGAUCGAAGACGAUCAGAUACCGUCGUAGUCUUAACCAUAAACGAUGCCGACCAGCGAUUAGGAGACGUUGAAUACAAAACACCACCAUCGGCGCGGUCGUCCUUGGCGUUCGUGUUCACGCACGGGCGCGAGGGCGGUUUAGCCCGGUGGCACCGGUGAAUGACUCCCUAGCAGCUUGUGA
rnacentral:rRNA from 1 species